AGCCGAAACGCCCCCCAGGGGCGUCGUCCCGGGGUGCCCGCCCGGGGCCUGAUGAGGCAGGGCGUA
rnacentral:hammerhead_ribozyme from 1 species